rnacentral:lncRNA from 1 species
GGCAGAGGGUGGGAGGAGACGGGCUGGCCGAGGGGCAGAGAAAAGGCAGGAAGGAAGCUGAUAUAAAAAAAAAAAAAUCUAUCUUGAGAAACAAUUCCUCUCCAUCUUUAAACCUAUGAAACUCAAAAAAUAAAAUCUGCUCUUGAAAUCUAAUGAUUAGACAGGCAUAGAAUACCAGUUAUAGACAUUCUGGCUAAAAGGGGAGAAAAUUUAAAGGAAAAAAGAAGUCACUAGUUCAAAAUAUUUUCAAAAUUCAGCUGUUUAAACUUCCUUUGUAUUACAUAAAAUUAAUUAUUAUUAUAUAAAUAUUAUUUUAUUUAAUGAUGGGAUUAUAGUAUUUCUUUGUGUGUGUAAUAAAACUUGAAACAAUCUUACAACAAAUUUAAUUGCUUAAUCCUUACCUUCCUCCGAGUUAACCUGACAAGUAAACUUUGAUUGUUUUUUUCUAUAAGUAUUUUAGACAUUAAGUUGCCACAUAUUACAUGUUUAUUUUGGUUUAGCUGUGUGUUCCUGGGAUCAAUNUUUUUUUUUUUUUUUUUUUUUUUUUUAUGUCUUUUUAGGCCACACUCGCAGCACAUGGAUGUUCCCAGGAUGGGGUCGAAUCGGAGCUGUUGCUGCUGGCCUACGCUAGAGCCACAGCAAGGCCAGAUCUAGCCAUGUCACGGCAACACCUGAUCCUUAAACCUACUGAGCAUGGCCAGGGAUUGAACCCUCAAUCUCAUGGUUCUAGUUGGAUUCGUUUCCUCUGUGCCACGACAGGAACUCCAGAAUUGGAUACCUUUAAUAUCUUCAUGGAAACUUCAUUUUGGCCUUUUGUCAAGUAUUUGGUGAAGUGCCUGACAUCUCAUUGGUGUUCUACAAACGUUCACCAAAAUAAACAGUGACUCGAAACAUCUGGACAAGAAGAUAAAAUUAAAAAAAAAAAAAAAAACAACAAAGUAGAGGCAUGGCUACCUUCAGUAAGUCCUGAACAGGAAUGCACCAGGCUCAGGCAAUGCCUGUGGCCUCAGGGUUACCCUAAGAGAUAAGAAGGCAAAGGACACAUGACCUUGACUACUUUAUUCCCCUCUUGCACACUGUGAAUGGACCAAACCUAUGUCUGGACCCACCCAAAAGGGAAAACUAUGUUGGACUCAGGUAUGUCGGGGAUGAGAGAGCGAGGUUAGAAUUUGACACCCAAGAAAGAAGAGGUGGAAUAGUGGUUGGAUGUGCGUUUGACAUUUUCUGUCAUUGCUGCCCUUUUCUUCCCUCACAACAUGGUUCUUUGAGCAGGAAGACCCAGGGGAACAUGGCUAGGGAGUAACACAGUUAUUACCUUAAGACAAAGAAAUGAAAGAUACAGAAGAAUCUAAUUCAUGUAUCAAUGCUCACUUGUAACCACUGAAUAAACUUUGGAUGUGACCCUCCA